rnacentral:ncRNA from 1 species
UUAACGGUCCUUUUCAGGGCCAUCAAUAUUUUACAAAAAGAUUCUAU